CUGAGCUGGAUGUCAGAGCGCUGCUCUCAGCACAACACACUUAACAGAUAUCCAACACUAUCAGUACUACAGCUGAUGUCACAGAGGGCUGACGCGGCCAAACCCCCGACAAAACAGUGUUAAAUCUGCGAGGGGGAAAUGAAAAGGUGUAAGGACGGGAAUAAUCCGCCGUUUGACUGUCUGCUGUGGGGCAUGUGAUGGAGAUGUGGCAGUGCCAUCUGCUGCUCAGACAAACACUUGUGAGGCACCAUCCCAUCAUCACACUCCUACAUGGUCGUGAUCCACAUAUUUGAUUUGGCAAAGAUGUUAUACCUUCCUGAUGCAACUCUUCCCAUUUAUCCGGACUUGGGACUGGCACCAUAAGUACAUUGGAUGGCUGGGUUAACCUGGAGCAUACAAGCAUCAUCAAAAAAUCUGUCACUCACACGUGUUGGCCAGCGCUGGAAUAUUUUUUGGUUUGGAAAAGUGUUACGGUAUUGUCGCUCCUGGAGGCUAAACUCUUGGACCGUGGAUGCGUCGUAAAGGGAUCAAUCAUCACUGGACGACAAGGAUUCUUGGUCGCAGAUGAACAAACUGUGCCAGCACUCAGUCGACACCAACAACCCAGCAAUUUCAAGAAGAAAAUAGUUUAGCACAGAUUUACUCUGGCCGCAACAUCCUGCUUUGUAGCUGACAUGCUACAUCGCUAUGUAAAUAAAAUCUUGUUUUCCCCAUAAAUCAGAGACGAUGGUUGACACACGUGACACGAAACAUAGUUAAAAGAUAAUUCUGAUUGGAACUGCUCAUGGUCAUAGCUCUUCGGGCAGAAAUAGUCUUAAAGGUCCAGUGUAAUGUUUUGUGGGGUUU